rnacentral:rRNA from 1 species
AACGAACGCUGGCGGCAUGCCUAACACAUGCAAGUCGAACGAGACCUUCGGGUCUAGUGGCGCACGGGUGCGUAACGCGUGGGAAUCUGCCCUGGGGUGCGAAUAACUCGGAGAAAUCCGUGCUAAUAACCGCAUAAUGUCUUCGGACCAAAGAUUUAUCGCCCUGGGAUGAGCCCGCGUAGGAUUAGCUAGUUGGUGGGUAAAAGGCCCUACCAAGGCGACGAUCCUUAGCUGGUCUGAGAGGAUGAUCAGCCACACUUGGGACUGAGACACGGCCCAGACCCCUACGGGAGGCAGCAGUGGGGAAUA